GGACUACUGGGGUUUCUAAUCCCGUUUGCUCCCCUGGCUUUCGCGCCUCAGCGUCAGAAGAGAUCCAGCAGAUCGCUUUCGCCACCGGCGUUCCUUCCGAUAUCUACGCAUUUCACCGCUCCACCGGAAGUUCCAUCUGCCCCUACCUCCCUCAAGCCUACCAGUAUCAGAAGCUGUUUUCCGGUUGAGCCGAAAGAUUUCACCCCUGACUUGGCAAGCCGCCUACGCGCCCUUUAAGCCCAGUGAAUCCGAACAACGUUUGCACGGUUCGUCUUACCGCGGCUGCUGGCAC
rnacentral:rRNA from 1 species